GCACAAGAAGUAGGUAGCUUAACCUUCGGGAGGGCGCUUACCACUUUGUGAUUCAUGACUGGGGUGAAGUCGUAACAAGGUAACCGUAGGGGAACCUGCGGUUGGAUCACCUCCUUACCUUAAAGAAGC
rnacentral:rRNA from 1 species